ACGCACGCUGGCGGCAUGCCUAACACAUGCAAGUCGAACGAGACCUUCGGGUCUAGUGGCGCACGGGUGCGUCACGCGUGGGAACCUACCCUUAGGUUCGGAAUAACUCCCCGAAAGGGGUGCUAAUACCGGAUAAUGUCUUCGGACCAAAGAUUUAUCGCCUUUGGAUGGGCCCGCGUUGGAUUAGCUAGUUGGUAGGGUAAAAGCCUACCAAGGCGACGAUCCAUAGCUGGUCUGAGAGGAUGAUCAGCCACACUGGGACUGAGACACGGCCCAGACUCCUACGGGAGGCAGCAGUGGGGAAUAUUGGACAAUGGGCGAAAGCCUGAUCCAGCAAUGCCGCGUGAGUGAUGAAGGCCUUAGGGUUGUAAAGCUCUUUUACCCGGGAUGAUAAUGACAGUACCGGGAGAAUAAGCUCCGGCUAACUCCGUG
rnacentral:rRNA from 1 species